UUGGGUAGGGGAGCAUUGUAUAAGGGUUGAAGCUGUACCGUAAGGAGCGGUGGACUUUAUACAAGAGAGAAUGUUGGCAUAAGUAGCGAGAGGUAGGUGAGAAUCCUACCCGCCGAAAACCUAAGGUUUCCUGAGGAAGGCUCGUCCGCUCAGGGUAAGUCGGGACCUAAGCCGAGGACGAAAGUCGUAGGCGAUGGACAACAGGUGAAGAUUCCUGUACCACCACUUUAUCGUUUGAGGAAUGGAGGGACGCAGGAGGAUAGGCAAAGCCCACGGUUGGUUGAGUGGGUCCAAGCCCGUAGGGAGUAGAGAUAGGCAAAUCCGUCUCUGCAAUCCUGAAAGGUGAUGGGGAGCGAAAAAUAAGUAGCGAACUUGCUGAUUCCACACUGACAAGAAAAGCUUCUACCGAGAUAAAAGGUGCCCGUACCGCAAACCGACACAGGUAGGUGAGGAGAGAAUCCUAAGGCGAGCGAGAUAACUACUGUUAAGGAACUCGGCAAAAUGACCCCGUAACUUAGGGAGAAGGGGUGCCACGUUAGGGUUAAUAGCCCGAGGUGGCCGCAGAGAAUAGGCCCAAGCGACUGUUUAGCAAAAACACAGGUCUCUGCUAAAUCGAAAGAUGAUGUAUAGGGGCUGACGCCUGCCCGGUGCUGGAAGGUUAAGGGAAGUGGUUAGCGUAAGCGAAGCUGUGAACCGAAGCCCCAGUAAACGGCGGCCGUAACUAUAACGGUCCUAAGGUAGCGAAAUUCCUUGUCGGGUAAGUUCCGACCCGCACGAAAGGCGUAACGAUUUGGGCACUGUCUCAACAGUAGGCUCGGUGAAAUUGUAGUACCGGUAAAGAUGCCGGUUACCCGCAGCAGGACGGAAAGACCCCGUGGAGCUUUACUGUAGCUUGGCACUGGAUUUUGGUAUUGCAUGUACAGGAUAGGUGGGAGACUUAGAAGCAUGGACGCCAGUUUGUGCGGAGUCAUUGUUGGGAUACCACUCUUGUAAUACUGAAGUUCUAACCAGAGACCGUUAUCCGGUCUUGGGACACUGUCAGGUGGGCAGUUUGACUGGGGCGGUCGCCUCCCAAAAAGUAACGGAGGCGCCCAAAGGUUCCCUCAGCGCGGUUGGAAAUCGCGCGAAGAGUGCAAAGGCAGAAGGGAGCUUGAUUGCGAGACAUACAGGUCGAGCAAGGACGAAAGUCGGGCUUAGUGAUCCGGUGGUUCCGAGUGGAAGGGCCAUCGCUCAACGGAUAAAAGCUACCCCGGGGAUAACAGGCUUAUCUCCCCCAAGAGUCCACAUCGACGGGGAGGUUUGGCACCUCGAUGUCGGCUCGUCUCAUCCUGGGGCUGUAGUAGGUCCCAAGGGUUGGGCUGUUCGCCCAUUAAAGAGGCACGCGAGCUGGGUUCAGAACGUCGUGAGACAGUUCGGUCCCUAUCCGCUGUGGGCGCAGGAAAUUUGAGAGGAGCUGUCCUUAGUACGAGAGGACCGGGAUGGACGUACCUCUGGUGCAUCAGUUGUUCCGCCAGGAGCACUGCUGAGUAGCUACGUACGGAAGGGAUAAGCGCUGAAGGCAUCUAAGCGCGAAGCCCACCUUAAGAUAAGAUUUCCCAUCCAUUUAUGGAUUAAGACCCCAGAAAGACUAUCUGGUUGAUAGGCCUAAGGUGUAAGGGCAGUAAUGUCUUUAGCUGAUAGGUACUAAUAGGUCGAGGACUUGACCAU
rnacentral:rRNA from 1 species